CAGCUCGUGUUGUGAAAUGUUGGGUUAAGUCCCGCAACGAGCGCAACCCUUAUCCUUUGUUGCCAGCGGUCCGGCCGGGAACUCAAAGGAGACUGCCAGUGAUAAACUGGAGGAAGGUGGGGAUGACGUCAAGUCAUCAUGGCCCUUACGACCAGGGCUACACACGUGCUACAAUGGCGCAUACAAAGAGAAGCGACCUCGCGAGAGCAAGCGGACCUCAUAAAGUGCGUCGUAGUCCGGAUUGGAGUCUGCAACUCGACUCCAUGAAGUCGGAAUCGCUAGUAAUCGUGGAUCAGAAUGCCACGGUGAAUACGUUCCCGGGCCUUGUACACACCGCCCGUCACACCAUGGGAGUGGGUUGCAAAAGAAGUAGGUAGCUUAACCUUCGGGAGGGCGCUUACCACUUUGUGAUUCAUGACUGGGGUGAAGUCGUAACAAGGUAACCGUAGGGGAACCUGC
rnacentral:rRNA from 1 species